AGCUGUAACUAAUACUUGCUCUAUUAUCCUUUGAUUUUUAUCUUUGGAUAAGUAUUUGUUAGGCCUUAUAAGAAACAAGUUAUUAACUUAUCGAAUUAUAACAAGGUAUUAACACGUAAUAAAUUUAUUUUAUUUAUUGUGUAUCAAUCAAGUUUCUGACCCAUCAGCUUUUGAUGUUACGGUAUUGGCCUAACAUGGCUAUGACGGUAUCUGAUCGUC
rnacentral:rRNA from 1 species